UACGUAGGGUGCAAGCGUUAAUCGGAAUUACUGGGCGUAAAGCGUGCGCAGGCGGUUAUGUAAGACAGAUGUGAAAUGCCCGGGCUUAACCUGGGAACUGCAUUUGUGACUGCAUCGCUGGAGUACGGCAGAGGGGGAUGGAAUUCCGCGUGUAGCAGUGAAAUGCGUAGAUAUGCGGAGGAACACCGAUGGCGAAGGCAAUCCCCUGGGCCUGUACUGACGCUCAUGCACGAAAGCGUGGGGAGCAAACAGG
rnacentral:rRNA from 1 species